rnacentral:rRNA from 1 species
UGGGCGCUGGAGAACUGAGGGGGGCUGCUCCUAGUACGAGAGGACCGGAGUGGACGCAUCACUGGUGUUCGGGUUGUCAUGCCAAUGGCACUGCCCGGUAGCUAAAUGCGGAAGAGAUAAGUGCUGAAAGCAUCUAAGCACGAAACUUGCCCCGAGAUGAGUUCUCCCUGACUCCUUGAGAGUCCUGAAGGAACGUUGAAGACGACGACGUUGAUAGGCCGGGUGUGUAAGCGCAGCGAUGCGUUGAGCUAACCGGUACUAAUGAACCGUGAGGCUUAACCUUACAACGCCGAAGGUGUUU